AGUGAACGCUGGCGGUAGGCCUAACACAUGCAAGUCGAACGGCAGCACAGUAAGAGCUUGCUCUUACGGGUGGCGAGUGGCGGACGGGUGAGGAAUACAUCGGAAUCUACUUUUUCGUGGGGGAUAACGUAGGGAAACUUACGCUAAUACCGCAUACGACCUACGGGUGAAAGCAGUGGAUCUUCGGACCUUGCGCGAUUGAAUGCGCCGAUGUCGGAUUAGCUAGUUGGCGGGGUAAAGGCCCACCAAGGCGGCGAUCCGUAGCUGGUCUGAGAGGAUGAUCGGCCACACUGGAACGGAGACACGGACCAGACGCCUACGAGAGGGAGCAGUGGGGAAUAGUGGACAACGGGCGCAAGCCUGAUCCAGCCGUACCGCGUGGGUGAAGAAGGCCUUCGGGUUGUAAAGCCCGUUUGUUGGGAAAGAAAAGCAGCAGGUUAAUACCCCGCUGUUCUGACGGUACCCAAAGAAUAAGCACCGGCUAACUUCGUG
rnacentral:rRNA from 1 species